rnacentral:rRNA from 1 species
UACGAAGGGGGCUAGCGUUGUUCGGAAUCACUGGGCGUAAAGCGCACGUAGGCGGAUUUUUAAGUCAGGGGUGAAAUCCCGAGGCUCAACCUCGGAACUGCCUUUGAUACUGGAGAUCUUGAGUCCGGAAGAGGUAAGUGGAACUGCGAGUGUAGAGGUGAAAUUCGUAGAUAUUCGCAGGAACACCAGUGGCGAAGGCGGCUUACUGGUCCGGAACUGACGCUGAGGUGCGAAAGCGUGGGGAGCAAACAGG